AGAAAGAUUAAGGGUCUGGCAAAGAGCAAUGUAAUGGCCCAACUCGAGGGGCGGCAACAAGUGUCACAGGGAAACCUGUGCCUGUGUUUAUCUGUCUGUGUCUGUGUGACGUAAGAAUUUACCUGGAGUCUGAUCAUUGGGGUGCAUUGAGGUAAUUAGUCCACGCAGGUGUGGUGAUUUAGGGGUGAUGGGCCAAGUAGCAUUUGAGUAGUCACGAGUCACUGGUGUGGGGUGUAGUGAGUGAGAGGGUGUCUGCACGUUCUGCGAACACUGUGGAUGAGAGAUAGGCACGGCGCAUAGUGGAGCCAGUUUUGGGUUGGUGACGGCUAAAGUUUUUGGACGCUUGACCCGAAUGGACGUUGCUGGUGAUUGAACCAUUGCAAAGCAGUGACAACGCCUGUUCAUUCAUCGCAGGGGUGCGGCUUACACUCUGCCAACGAAGGAGUGUCGUCCUGGUAUCCUGUCCUGUCAAACGUGAGCCGGCCACCGCUACGAACCAGCCUGCUGUGGGAAUACUAACACGCCUGACUAUUCACCUCGGGGGUGCGGUUUACAUAAGCCGCCCUCUGCCCAGUUAAGUGCCGCUUUCCUCUUUAUUACUGAAUCAGAAGAGCCAGCGUCUGGUGGCUUCUUGGAUUUAGAAUUGUAUUACAGCUACGAUCGCCCAGUUAAAGUGCUGAGUCUGGACACUUAAAGCCCUGUGUGUGCUGUGAUGGGAUUACCUCUGCGUGAUACUUUGAUGGACUUCAUUGUUCUCGUGUGAUAGGCUACUUGGAUAUAUUCUUCAUAGACUCUUACACUCGUGUGCUGAUUUGAUGGACUUUGAUAUUAUUUGGCCUUUGUUGUUGGCGUGGCAUCCUCUCACCUGUGUGUAGCUAUUAAUUGCCGACAGAGAACAUUGUUUCAUCCACUGAGCUGCAUAUGUGUCGAAUUCUGCGCCCUAUACUCCCAUUUGUCUCUCUCUCUCUUCUCUCGUCAGCGGAUCUUUGCUAUUGGCCCGUCUGUUGUCUGCCUGCGGCUCACCCGCCCCUAGCUGUCAGUCACGAACCAAGGCCCGCCCCUGCCCUCCUGCAAGUCAGCGCGUGUGUGCGCAGCCGGCUCUGAUUGCCUCUCCUGCUCCAUCCACUUGAACUGUGCAGUGCCACCAUUGCCACUCAUCCAGUCAUUUCCAUACCUUGGAUUGUGGAUUUUAUCACGAAUAGACUGAGUAUUUUUAAAUAAGAAUUGACUGUUGUUUCAAUAAAACAAAAAAAUAAAUAUCUAUCUUUUCUAAAGGCUA